GAUGAACGCUGGCGGCGUGCCUAAUACAUGCAAGUCGAGCGAACAGACGAGGAGCUUGCUCCUUUGACGUUAGCGGCGGACGGGUGAGUAACACGUAGGAAACCUACCUAUAAGACUGGGAUAACUUCGGGAAACCGGAGCUAAUACCGGUUAAUAUUUCGAACCGCAUGGUUCGAUAGUGGAAGAUGGCUUUGCUAUCACUUAUAGAUGGACCUGCGCCGUAUUAGCUAGUUGGUAAGGUAACGGCUUACCAAGGCAACGAUACGUAGCCGACCUGAGAGGGUGAUCGGCCACACUGGAACUGAGACACGGUCCAGACUCCUACGGGAGGCAGCAGUAGGGAAUCUUCCGCAAUGGGCGAAAGCCUGACGGAGCAACGCCGCGUGAGUGAUGAAGGUCUUCGGAUCGUAAAACUCUGUUAUUAGGGAAGAACAAACGUGUAAGUAACUGUGCACGUCUUGACGGUACCUAAUCAGAAAGCCACGGCUAACUACGUG
rnacentral:rRNA from 1 species